UUAAUUCUUCAUCUGCAUUUU
rnacentral:piRNA from 1 species